GAUGAACGCUGGCGGCGUGCCUAAUACAUGCAAGUCGAGCGAACGGACGAGAAGCUUGCUUCUCUGAUGUUAGCGGCGGACGGGUGAGUAACACGUGGAUAACCUACCUAUAAGACUGGGAUAACUUCGGGAAACCGGAGCUAAUACCGGAUAAUAUUUUGAACCGCAUGGUUCAAAAGUGAAAGACGGUCUUGCUGUCACUUAUAGAUGGAUCCGCGCUGCACUAGCUAGUUGGUAAGGUAACGGCUUACCAAGGCAACGAUGCAUAGCCGACCUGAGAGGGUGAUCGGCCACACUGGAACUGAGACACGGUCCAGACUCCUACGGGAGGCAGCAGUAGGGAAUCUUCCGCAAUGGGCGAAAGCCUGACGGAGCAACGCCGCGUGAGUGAUGAAGGUCUUCGGAUCGUAAAACUCUGUUAUUAGGGAAGAACAUAUGUGUAAGUAACUGUGCACAUCUUGACGGUACCUAAUCAGAAAGCCACGGCUAACUACGUGCCAGCAGCCGCGGUAAUACGUAGGUGGCAAGCGUUAUCCGGAAUUAUUGGGCGUAAAGCGCGCGUAGGCGGUUUUUUAAGUCUGAUGUGAAAGCCCACGGCUCAACCGUGGAGGGUCAUUGGAAACUGGAAAACUUGAGUGCAGAAGAGGAAAGUGGAAUUCCAUGUGUAGCGGUGAAAUGCGCAGAGAUAUGGAGGAACACCAGUGGCGAAGGCGACUUUCUGGUCUGUAACUGACGCUGAUGUGCGAAAGCGUGGGGAUCAAACAGGAUUAGAUACCCUGGUAGUCCACGCCGUAAACGAUGAGUGCUAAGUGUUAGGGGGUUUCCGCCCCUUAGUGCUGCAGCUAACGCAUUAAGCACUCCGCCUGGGGAGUACGACCGCAAGGUUGAAACUCAAAGGAAUUGACGGGGACCCGCACAAGCGGUGGAGCAUGUGGUUUAAUUCGAAGCAACGCGAAGAACCUUACCAAAUCUUGACAUCCUUUGACAACUCUAGAGAUAGAGCCUUCCCCUUCGGGGGACAAAGUGACAGGUGGUGCAUGGUUGUCGUCAGCUCGUGUCGUGAGAUGUUGGGUUAAGUCCCGCAACGAGCGCAACCCUUAAGCUUAGUUGCCAUCAUUAAGUUGGGCACUCUAAGUUGACUGCCGGUGACAAACCGGAGGAAGGUGGGGAUGACGUCAAAUCAUCAUGCCCCUUAUGAUUUGGGCUACACACGUGCUACAAUGGACAAUACAAAGGGCAGCGAAACCGCGAGGUCAAGCAAAUCCCAUAAAGUUGUUCUCAGUUCGGAUUGUAGUCUGCAACUCGACUACAUGAAGCUGGAAUCGCUAGUAAUCGUAGAUCAGCCUGCUACGGUGAAUACCGUCCCGGGUCU
rnacentral:rRNA from 1 species